UUCAGUAAAUGCUAAACAAACUUAGCUCGCAAAUACUUAAUUACGCACCCCCUCACGCGGCCCUGCAAUAGUCUGCCAGCGGUUGAUCCUCCCCGCAUGCUGAAUCUCCCGCGAAGCCGGACCCGAUGGAUCUCUCCACUGCUCGUCUUCAACAAUGUACUGUUCACAAUCUUGAUUUGCGCCUUCCAUCAACACGACUCGACUUCGAUUCCCACAGCCGCGUCUUUGGUCCCUGCAUGGCAAACCCUUUUACUCUUCUUCCUGCCGCUAAACAGCCCAACCCCAGGAUUUGUGCCCGAUAUCUAAGACGCCCGAUCAUGUCAAUUCCGUGGUGCCAUUCACGCUGUUUGUGCUGAUCUUUACCAUCGCAUCGACCACCGCCUCUGUGUUCUCUACAGAAUCGUUGAUUUGUAUCUAUAUUCUCCAUCAGGAUCACCGAUUCCCCUAUCGAGGCUGCAAUCUCGAUGUCAUCUGUUCCGCAUUCGCGGCUCUGUUUUUUGCGAUCACAUGAGGUCAAUGUUAAAUCCAAUGUGCCAAGCUUCUGAUUUAUGCUCCAUUAAUACAGCAAAAACUGCUGAUUGUGCUCCUCCAAUUAAGCACAUCCAUGCGGUAAGUGAAAGUUGUGCUGGAUAUUUCUUUAGUGUAACGGCCUGUUGCGAAUAUAUUAACUACUAUUAAGAUGUAAGUUUUGAUGUAGUUUACUACCUCAAGACCAAAUUUCUCAUGAUAAAAUUUCAUUGCACACGCUGUAAUUAA